CAGUCUUUUACAGGGUAAGGUCGUUUCGUAAAGUGUGUUUUUUUCUGCUCUGCUGGCUUCCGUGUUUGCAGCAACUUCCUGAAUCAAAGCAGUGACCGGGGUUUAGGUAUAGGGUCUUAAACAGUAGCUCAUUGACAACAGCUUCAGAAGACGACUUGUCACAAGAUGAGGAGGCGUUUCAGCAGGAAGGUAUCCCCCAGUACCAUCAAAGAGUUGGAUGCUUUCCCAAAAGUUCCUGAUGUGUGCGUCCAAACCUCCAUCAGCGGAGGCACAGUUUCACUGCUCACCUUCACAUUAAUUGCCAUCCUAGCUAUUGGAGAAUUCUCUUAUUUCCAAGACAGCUGGAUACAAUACAACUAUCAAGUUGACACAAAUAUUUCCAGCAAGCUCCAAGUAAAUCUUGAUAUCACAGUGGCCAUGCAAUGUGACUAUGUUGGAGCAGACAUGAUUGAUCAGACAGAAAUCAGGGUUGGUGAGUCUGGAGACCUUCAGUAUGAGCCAACCUGCUUUGAACUCACAGAAAAGGAGAAAGUCUGGCAGAGAACAAUACAAACUAUUCAACAACAACUCAACGAGGAACAUAAUCUGCUGGAAUUCCUCAUCAAGUCAUCAUUUAAUGGAACAACAAAGGGUCCAAGGGUUGUUGACUCCAGAGAUGCUCCAAAUGCCUGCAGGAUUCAUGGUUCACUGAAACUCAACAAAGUUGCAGGGAAUUUACAUAUUAUGGCUGGGAAACCAUACCAACUCUCAUUUGGCCAUGCCCAUGCACUUGCCACAAAGGAUCCUAAAGUGUACAACUUCUCUCAUCGAAUAGAUCAUUUGUCAUUUGGAGAACUGAACCCUGGAUUAAUCCAUCCACUAGAUGGCACUGAGAAAAUAACAGAGACAAAUAUGCACAUGUUUCAAUAUUUCCUCGUCGUGGUACCCACUGAAAUAAACACCAUCAAGUUCUCCACAAACACCCAUCAGUACUCAGUCACUGAGAAGGGAAAAGAACUAACAGGGAGAAGAAAGAGGUAUGAAAUACCAGGAAUUCUGCUGAAAUAUGACAUAAGCUCUCUUAAGAUCCUGAUAUCUGAAAAAGGAAUGCCCACCAGCCAGUUUCUCAUUCGCCUUUGCGGCAUAAUCGGUGGAAUUUUUACUACUGCAGAACCAUAUCCAAAAUUAUUGGCAUAAUGGACAGUGAAAAUUACAAAGAGAUCUUGAGCAAAUGGGUCAAUGGGCUGAGGAGUGGUUCUGCUUGACCUGGAGUGCCUCCAUCAUUUCCCAUUUCUGCUUCCAAAAGUACUUAAUUAGCAGUAAAACACAUUAGGUUGUCCCGACUUCAU